GGAAUAUUGGACAACGGGCGAAAGCCUGAUCCAGCAAUGCCGCGUGAGUGCUGAAGGCCUUAGGGUUGUAAAGCUCUUUUACUGGGGAUGAGAAUGACAGUACCCAGAGAAUAAGCUACGGCUAACUCCGUGCCAGCAGCCGCGGUAAGACGGAGGGAGCGAGCGUUGUUCGGAAUUACUGGGCGUAAAGCGCACGUAGGCGGCUUGUUAAGUCAGGGGUGAAAUCCCGGGGCUCAACCCCGGAACUGCCUUUGAAACUGGAAAGCUAGAAUCCUGGAGAGGUGAGUGGAAUUCCGAGUGUAGAGGUGAAAUUCGUAGAUAUUCGGAAGAACACCAGUGGCGAAGGCGACUCACUGGACAGGUAUUGACGCUGAGGUGCGAAAGCGUGGGGAGCAAAC
rnacentral:rRNA from 1 species